AGAUAGUGACAUGACCCCCUUUUAAUAAAUAUACUUGGGACCUUCCUUAUGGGAGGUCCACUUUUUUUUGCCCU
rnacentral:sRNA from 1 species